CUGUCAACCAAGAAGACACGACCUUCCUUUUUGUUGAUGACCGGAGGUGUGCUGAAGUCCUGGUGGAAGUGUUCCUGGGUGUGCACCCUGCCUGUGGAUCGCUCAGGAAGGUGAAGUUGCAUUGUACGGUUCUUUUUCGGCCAAGAAAAGAAGACAUUUCUGUCCUUUAAUACCAGAGGUUCACAUGAUUCCCAGAGGAAGUGUGGUUCUGACGGCUCAGCGAGCCUGGGGAUCACUCAGGAAGGUGGAGUGGCCGUACAAGGCUCACCAUCGACCAUGAAAUGACGACCUUCCUUUGAUGAGCGGUGGCGUGCUGCGGGAGCCUGGAAGACGGGUGUCCCUGGGUGUGCACCAUAUCUGUGGAUUGCUCAGGAAGGUGGAGGUGCCCUGCAAGGUUCUUCAGACAAGAAAAGAGGAUCUUUCUCUCCCUGGAUGACCUGAGGUUCAUGGGAACCACAGCAGCUCUGUGGCUCUGAGUGCACCGAGCCUAGGGAUCACUCAGGAAGGUGGAUUGGCCCUCCCAGGAUCAUUGCCAGCUAUGAAGAGACCAGCUUUCUGUCCUUUGACUGGAGGUGCCCGGGAUCCCUGAAAGUAGUGUGUCCCAGGGUGUGCACCAUGCCCAUGGAUCGCUCAGAGGUGGAGUUGCAUUGCAGAGUUCUCUUCGGCCCAGAAAAGAAGACAUUUCUCUCUGGAUGAUUGGAGGUUCCCGGGAACCUCAGCAGAUACUUGGCCCUGAGUGUGCACCCCUCCAAGGCAACAAUU